CGACCCGAAUUCGCGCUG
rnacentral:misc_RNA from 1 species